rnacentral:rRNA from 1 species
GCUUUGUGGAUGCUAUAAGUACAACUUCCGUUACACUUACUUUGUUACGACUUACUCCAACUUUAAUUUAAGGAAUUGACGGGCGAUGUGUACUAAGCAAAGGUUGAUUUCAUAUUUAGAAUUAUAUUACUAUCUAAUCCUAAUAAAUUAUAAAUUGUCUUUCAAAUUUUUUCUAAGACUGAGGCAUUAGGGCCUGUUUAUAUCAAUUCUUUUUUUAAACACGGAUUAAAUUAAACGGCAAUACACCAUUUUAUCAUUCUUAGUGGGAUGGUGGGUUAUCAGGUUUCAAAAGCCUCAGAAACUUGUUGCUUCCGCCAGGUUUUUUAAGUUUUGAAAAAAAAAAAUUACUGCUCAAAAAAUAUUAUUGUUAUUAUCUUUAACUCGAUUACAGCGGUAUCUAAUCGCUUUAAGCAAUGACCGAGUUUUAUUUUAUUUUUGAGAAAUUUUAAUUUGUUUUAAAUAAUGAAAUUUAAUCUUUAUUUACUCUCUUGAAAAAAAUUUAAAAAUAAUUCUAAUUUUUUAUUUUUCUUUAUAGGGUUCCGUCUAACCGCGGGUGCUGGCACGGGAAUUAACCCCCAAAUUAAUAUACUCUAUCAUAUUUAAUUUUUAAAAUUCUCAGCACUGGGAGUGGAUUUUUUUUUAGAAUUUAUUUUUUUUUACCCAUGAGCUUACCCCAAAAUAUGGUGUUAUUUCUGAAACAAAAAGAU